ACAACAAUAUUCAUCCUUCUUGCUGAUGACUCUGCAGGUAAAUUCUGACUCAAGUGAUCCCAGCUGGGCUUGCUUAGCCAGGCUGAACUCCAGACUUUGGCUUGGGUUGGAAAUUCUCUGUGUCCAUUCCUGUACCCAGGCUGAAGGAGAAAUGACCACUUGGGACAUGCUCAUCUCACGGCACAGGGUGGACACUCCAGGAGGACAGAAAAAAACAUUCAAGAUCCAGAAUGGCUCUCCUCUCCCUGGCUGAGAACAGUGUUCCAUUGAGAAGAGGGAUAGAAAUAGGAACCCUCCCACUGUACCAGGAAGCUCCUUACAGAAGCCAGUCCUUUAUGAGCACUGUCCGGGAACCAUAAGGUUGUCAACUGUCACUUCUUGCUGAUGUCAUUGCAACUGUAUUUAGUAGCAAUCCACCCACUUGCAUUUUCAUUUGGUGUGCAGUGAAACAAACCAAACAAAGGAUAAUGGUAUGGAAACAAAAAGCUUAUAGGCAUUAAAUGAGAACCAGUCAAGAAUUAUAAAAAGGGUCCUUGUGCUCAUCUGCCCAAUUGAUCUGUACUCAAGAGAACAGAAACAGAGCUCGUCAGAAUUACGUGUAAACACAGCAAAUCGAUUCUGAGUAAGCAUUUAGGAGCAAUGGUCAGGAAUGUCAUGAUCUUUUUUCCUUUGUUUUACAAUUUGGCAGGGGCCUUUUCCACAAUUUUUUUUUUAUGACGUGAUAUUGUUUUCCACAAUGGCUGUCCCUUUUGACUUUCUGGCUACACAUUAACGGUGAUGUACGUUCAUUUACAUUUUACAUUGUGCACCAAAAGUGCACAAAGUUUCUAAUUUCUCCACA